rnacentral:piRNA from 1 species
UGAUGUGCCACUAGGCCUAAAUCUGAAG